rnacentral:ncRNA from 1 species
AAUAGAGGCGCGCCGCACGAAAAGUAGCCGUGGGAGACACCGGGUCGGAGAUCACGGACGAAAGGCGUCGGCGCCGAAGGGCGGUUUUUCCGGAGGAAACCGAUCCCUGGACAUGCGGUAAAGAACCGUAUGGCUGUCAUCACGGAGUGAUGGAGCGCUAUU